GCUUCUCUAAAUACUGGAAGAGUGUCACUCCACAGGGGUGUUUAUGACUGUCUGAGAUGCAGGAAGCAGCGGCCUUCCUUUUGGGCCCUGUGAUUUCCAUGGUGCCUUCACUGCUGGUGGCCUUCAGGGACCAGAGGCCCGCCCGGGGCCUGCACAGGCCAACUGGCAGCUUUCCAGGGUUUGAAUAGGGAUGCUUAUGGUUUUACAUGAGGGGAGUCUUAACUGUUUUAUUAUUUUAUGGCUCACGUGAGUGUGAUUGGGUGUAUUUCUUUAUGGGUCAGAAUGCCAAUAAUAUUUAUCCUGAAGUCUUGCAAAGAAUGGGGUCAUCAUUCUUACUGGGGCACAACUCCAGUCCUUCUCUGGAACAGUGUGGCCAGGUAAGGUUGUUCAGGUUGUGCACUACAAACCUGGCUGCAAAGGUGUGUCAAGCCACUGGACGUCUCCCUAAGGUGAGGGGUAUCUUUUUCUAAUUUGCAUAAAGGCUCAUAUGCGCUGGUGGUGGCUCUCCUUUACAUAUCCGCGGGUCUGUCUUCUAGGUCGGGGAGGAGGGAAAGCGAAUAAUGUGCAGCUGGCCACAUUGCCGCUUGAGCCACGGUCCCUGAAGUCUUCUGCCUUCCUGUUUCCUGGCUUGUGUGCAGAGAAGCCCCCUCUGAUGCUUACCGUCACAUGGCACAGAGUUCUGGAGAACCCACGUUGGACUCUGGCAGACCGUGCUGUUCAGAGGCUGGCUCUGCCCUUAGGAUGGGUAACCAAAGCUGGGGCCAUUGAGCUGGUGUCUUCGGACCACAAGCUGGUGUUUCUUGGAUGCUCUGGGGGGCGCUGACUAUCCCCUCUGUCAGUUUCAAAUGGUAUCGGUUUCCAAGCCUUUGUCCCUGGGCUGAAUUCACAGUUGAGCUGGGGCUCAGGUUUUGAUUAAGGGGAGCAGGGCUGGUGGGGGUCUCCUGGUGUGCAGUGCUCCUGGUGCCCCCAUCCUGUCCCCCUCCCCCCCCAUCCUGUCCCCAGCCGGAUGCUGCACUGGGUGAGACCCAUUUGAGAAAGAACAUGUGCUCACAUCUCUUAGAUAAACCCUUGCAGCUCUGGUGGGGGUCAUGCUGUUUUCUGUGGCUGUGGGGGCUCUGGCCACCCCUCCGCACUCUGGCUGGGCAUGAUAUGUGCAGGGGGCUCAGCCCCGCUGGACCCUGGAGUCACCCAGGGCUGUGCAGGAGUCUGGGACACCUGGAGUGGUAUCGCUACCCCCCGGGCAGGUGGGAGGAGGCAGGAGCAGGAGGCUGCUGUGCCCUGUCCUGGCUUGGGUCAGGCUCUGAGGAGGGGUGUGUGUCCACAGGCUGGGGAGCCCUGGGCCG
rnacentral:lncRNA from 1 species